GAUGAACGCUAGCGGCAGGCUUAAUACAUGCAAGUCGAACGGGAUUGAGAAGCUUGCUUUUCAUGAGAGUGGCGCACGGGUGCGUAACACGUAUGCAACCUGCCUUGUCCAGGGGGAUAGCCCGUUGAAAGACGGAUUAAGACCGCAUAACAUCAUUGAAUGGCAUCGUUUAAGGAUCAAAUAUUUAUAGGGACAAGAUGGGCAUGCGUCUGAUUAGCUAGUUUGCGGGGUAAUGGCCCACCAAGGCGACGAUCAGUAGGGGAUCUGAGAGGAUGAGCCACCACACUGGAACUGAGACACGGACCAGACUCCUACGGGAGGCAACAGUAAGGAAUAUUGGUCAAUGGGCGCAAGCCUGAACCAGCCAUGCCGCGUGCAGGAAGACGGCCCUACGGGUUGUAAACUGCUUUUAUACGGGAAUAACCCCGGUUUCGUGAAACCGGCUGAAUGUACCGUAAGAAUAAGGAUCGGCUAACUCCGUGCCAGCCGCCGCGGUAA
rnacentral:rRNA from 1 species